GUGCUCACUUCUGCAGCACAUACACUGAAAGCUAAAAUGAUACAUCGAAGAUUACCAGGACCCCUGUGCAAGGAAGACAUGCAGAUUGGUGAAGUACCCCACAUAUUA
ensembl:snRNA U6 U6 spliceosomal RNA